GAGCGGGGGCCGCGCCGGGGCCGCCUCAGCCACGGCCGGGACACGGCCCGCUCCCACCGCGUCCCACGGCACCCCACGGCACCCCACGGCACCCCACCGCACCCCACCGCAUCCCCUCUGUAUCCCGCCCGCUCCCCACCUCCGGGCCCCGGGGAGUGCCGCCGGGUGACCCGAUCCCGGUGCGGCGGGCGCUCAGCGCGGCGUGGACGCUAACCCGGGUACGCGGGGCUGCAGCGAGCGGAUCUGCACCGCCACGCACAGGAGGGGACUCACCUCUGUCUGCACCAUGGCCGGCCGCUGCGUCCGCAAGGUCUUCACCAUCUGGAACAUGUCCACCACGCCCUCGUAGCGCAUCCUCUCCAGCACGAUGCUGAGUGUGAUGAACACGCCGGUGCGCCCAACCCCAGCGCUGCACAGGGAGCAACAGGGGCCACGAUGCAGCUCCUGCCGCACAGUGAACCUAGAGCAGAAUGUGCUGCUGGGAACUGCACAUCCAUCUGCCUUUUAUAUCAUCCCCAGAAGCUGCCAAUCCAGGGGGGACCAUGGCCGACGCAAGCUUUACAAUUCAAAUGUAUUUUAAAUCACUGCCUACCUGCUUUAGAAAUACACAAAAGAAUAACUGUCUGUAGUGAUCCACAGCCCACCUCUCCCAGCCCCUGGACGAGCAGCCUGAGGAGCUCUGCGGGCAGAGACGGGGCGCUAGAGAAGUGGGGUGCUGGGGCUC